rnacentral:rRNA from 1 species
AAAGACCUUAUGCUUUUGGAGCGGCCGAUGUCUGAUUAGCUAGUUGGUAAGGUAAAGGCUUACCAAGGCGACGAUCAGUAGUUGGUCUGAGAGGACGACCAGCCACACUGGGACUGAGACACGGCCCAGACUCCUACGGGAGGCAGCAGUGGGGAAUUUUGGACAAUGGGCGAAAGCCUGAUCCAGCAAUGCCGCGUGAGUGAAGAAGGCCUUCGGGUUGUAAAGCUCUUUCAGUCGAAAAGAAAAGAUUGUGACUAAUAAUCAUAAUUUAUGACGGUAUCGACAGAAGAAGCACCGGCUAACUACGUGCCAGCAGCCGCGGUAAUACGUAGGGUGCGAGCGUUAAUCGGAAUUACUGGGCGUAAAGGGUGCGCAGGCGGUUCUGCAAGUCAGAUGUGAAAUCCCCGGGCUUAACCUGGGAACU